rnacentral:rRNA from 1 species
AGUGAACGCUGGCGGUAGGCCUAACACAUGCCAGUCGAACGGCAGCACAGUAAGAGCUUGCUCUUACGGGUGGCGAGUGGCGGACGGGUGAGGUAUACAUCGGAAUCUACUUUUUCGUGGGGGAUAACGUAGGGAAACUUACGCUAAUACCGCAUACGACCUACGGGUGAAAGCAGGGGAUCUUCGGACCUUGCGCGAUUGAAUGAGCCGAUGUCGGAUUAGCUAGUUGGCGGGGUAAAGGCCCACCAAGGCGACGAUCCGUAGCUGGUCUGAGAGGGUGAUCAGCCACACUGGAACUGAGACACGGUCCAGACUCCUACGGGAGGCAGCAGUGGGGAAUAUUGGACAAUGGGCGCAAGCCUGAUCCAGCCAUACCGCGUGGGUGAAGAAGGCCUUCGGGUUGUAAAGCCCUUUUGUUGGGAAAGAAAAGCAGCAGGUUAAUACCCCGCUGUUCUGACGGUACCCAAAGAAUAAGCACCGGCUAACUUCGUG